GACUGGGAACCACCUAAGGGUUGCGUGAUUUGAUCAGCACAGUCUCAAUGUUUUUCUUUCGAUGGUUAAAGUAGCUAUCUUUGUAGCCCCUGUGGAUUAUGAAGAAAAGGGCUGGGGGCAGCAAAUCAAAGGAGUGCUAAUUGGGUCAUGACAAAAAGCAAGAACUUCUCAAUCAUGUCCGUCCAAUAUCUGAAGAUGUACAAAAGCUAAAACCCAGGCAGGUGGUGACCAGGCUAACCUUGGCUGUUUCUUGCUUAAUUUGACUAUUGAAACUUUUUUAAUUGGGUUCUUUUCUGUUCUACACCUUUUUUUUUUAAAGGUAGAUUAUUUUUAGACAAAAUAAAUAACAUAUUUCGUGAGCAGGUGGAGAGCUAAAAAAUUCCAGUUGCCAGGUGUCAUACUAUCAAAGAGCACGCCAGGUGUCAAAAGUAGAAAAAUAACUGUGGAGGGUAUCUGGGGAGAAUUCCAAGAAAGGUCGGACAGUCAUUAUGCUAACCCUGGCGACUAUUUUGCUUCACAAUUUAACUGCAAAAAAAAU
rnacentral:lncRNA from 1 species